ACUGCACUGAGCAUGCUCGCUGCAGAUGCAGCCUGUAGAUGGAGCAAAGGGGAGGAGAGAGGAGAGGACGGUUGGGAAGGAGGCACAGAGGAGCUGCACACAGCUGUGAGAUGCUGUUGCAGCUCUGAGAACAAGAGCUGCAUGGGAAGAGUCAUCACUGGGAAUACAGAUGGAAGCUGAAAGUGGAAUACGAACGAUUGGAAUGUCGGAGAGUCGACACCAAAGAGGAGAAUUCAUUUGAUAAGAGACUCUUAGGCAGCGUGGAGAUGUAUGCCUUUUACUCCCUUUUGGUCUACAUCUUCUACACUGUCUUUAAGAAGGAGGAGGAGGAGGAAGCCUUGGAAGGGGCGUGUGGAGAUUCCCCAGAUGAGCCAGGACCUGUUUCCAUGGAAAC